UAAUGGCUCACCAAGGCGACGAUCCCUAGCUGGUCUGAGAGGAUGAUCAGCCACACUGGAACUGAGACACGGUCCAGACUCCUACGGGAGGCAGCAGUGGGGAAUAUUGCACAAUGGGCGCAAGCCUGAUGCAGCCAUGCCGCGUGUGUGAAGAAGGCCUUCGGGUUGUAAAGCACUUUCAGCAGUGAGGAAGGUGGUGUCGUUAAUAGCGGCAUCAUUUGACGUUAGCUGCAGAAGAAGCACCGGCUAACUCCGUGCCAGCAGCCGCGGUAAUACGGAGGGUGCGAGCGUUAAUCGGAAUUACUGGGCGUAAAGCGCAUGCAGGUGGUUAGUUAAGUCAGAUGUGAAAGCCCGGGGCUCAACCUCGGAACUGCAUUUGAAACUGGCUGACUAGAGUACUGUAG
rnacentral:rRNA from 1 species